rnacentral:rRNA from 1 species
UGUGUGUUAGUGGAAGCGUCUGGAAAGGCGCGCGAUACAGGGUGACAGCCCCGUACACAAAAAUGCACAUGCUGUGAGCUCGAUGAGUAGGGCGGGACACGUGGUAUCCUGUCUGAAUAUGGGGGGACCAUCCUCCAAGGCUAAAUACUCCUGACUGACCGAUAGUGAACCAGUACCGUGAGGGAAAGGCGAAAAGAACCCCGGCGAGGGGAGUGAAAAAGAACCUGAAACCGUGUACGUACAAGCAGUGGGAGCACGCUUAGGCGUGUGACUGCGUACCUUUUGUAUAAUGGGUCAGCGACUUAUAUUCUGUAGCAAGGUUAACCGAAUAGGGGAGCCGAAGGGAAACCGAGUCUUAACUGGGCGUUAAGUUGCAGGGUAUAGACCCGAAACCCGGUGAUCUAGCCAUGGGCAGGUUGAAGGUUGGGUAACACUAACUGGAGGACCGAACCGACUAAUGUUGAAAAAUUAGCGGAUGACUUGUGGCUGGGGGUGAAAGGCCAAUCAAACCGGGAGAUAGCUGGUUCUCCCCGAAAGCUAUUUAGGUAGCGC